ensembl:lncRNA
CGCCUCGUUCUCUCCUCAGGCUGGUGGUAGCUGGUCCUCUCCAGGAGUAUUACCGCCUCGUUCUCUCCUCAGGCUGGUGGUAGCUGGUCUUCUCCAGGAGUCUGAGGUGCGGGAGGUUCCUCCGCACCCUCUGGACAUCGAGGGGGCCCCGGCGUAUGCAGUCCGAUCCAUACUGGACUCGAGGCAUUGGGCAAGGGGCCUUCAGUACCUCGUGGAGUUGAAUGGGUACGGUCUGGAGGAGAGAUGCUGGGUGCCGGUGGAGGACAUAUUGGACCCUUCGAUGCUACGAGAUUUCCACCGUUUCCAUCCGGAUCGCCCUGCGCCUCGUCCUCUGGGUCGUCCCCGAGGCCGGGUUCGGUGCUGCUAGAGUCGCGCGUCAAGGGGAGAUACUGUCACGACAUCCGCCGAAGUUCAUUAAUUAUUUAACCCUCUGGUUUCCCCUAUGUUUUGUUUUAUUGUAAGUCUUUACCUGACGGCUGGUAUUAUUGUUGCCGGGUUUUGUUGUGACGCCUGUUUGUUUCGUGGUACCGGUAUUUUUCCUGCACCUUAGUAUUGUGUUUGUACUGGUGUUUUUUCUUGAAUUAAAUACCUUAUCCACACAUCUCAGCUCUCCUGCGCCUGACUCCUUUCACCAGUUACCGACAGCCUUAAAACUGGGUCUCCUCCAGGGACAUCCUGGAACCAGGCCUUAUCUCUGAGUUCCAGCGCCGGCUCAACCAGGCACUAUCAGAAGGCGUCUACAUUCAGACUCCUCCUGUCUGGAUCCCACCGUGGUUGUCUGGUUCUCUGAGAACACAAGGCUGCCACAGACCUGAUGAAACCAGCCACCUGUCAGAAGAUGCUUAGACUCGUUCACCUUGUUAUGACUCUAUACUGAUGAAAGGUCAAGCUUCUGUCAAACCCACUUCUGAGCUUUUAAUUGCUGAUAAGAUGGUUGCUGCUGUCAGGGGAGGUUAGAUCUAUUAAAAUGUUGUUGCCAGGGAAAGUCACGCAAGAGGGAUUGGGGAGGCUAUAUGAGUUACAGGAUGCCUUAGACAUUUUGCAGAACCUGGGGAGAGCUAUCAUAUACUGUUAUACUGUACUCUGUACCAACUUCUGCCUACCAUUGUAUUACUAAAGGAGUAUUUUAAUACGUAAACAAAGAGUGUUUCCUUCCCAUUACUAAUGUAUGGUUAAUAAUGUCAUAGACCUGAUCAUUUGUUGAAGAAAUUUACCAGCAAUCUCACCAGCCCCCAUUGUGUUGAUCUCUCCAGUCCCCAUUGUGUUGAUCUCUCCAGUCCCCAUUGUGUUGAUCUCUCCAGUCCCCAUUGUGUUGAUCUCUUCAGUCCCCAUUGUGUUGAUCUCUCCAGUCCCCAUUGUGUUGAUCUCUCCAGUCCCCAUUGUGUUGAUCUCUCCAGUCCCCAUUGUGUUGAUCUCUCCAGUCCCCAUUGUGUUGAUCUCACCUGUCCCCAUUGUGUUGAUCACUCCAGUCCCCAUUGUGUUGAUCUCUCCAGUCCCCAUUGUGUUGAUCUCUCCAGUCCCCAUUGUGUUGAUCUCUCCAGUCCUCAUUGUGUUGAUCUCACCUGUCCCCAUUGUGUUGAUCACUCCAGUCCCCAUUGUGUUGAUCUCUUCAGUCCCCAUUUUGUUGAUCUCACUAGUCCCCAUUGUGUUGAUCUCUCCAGUCCCCAUUGUGUUGAUCUCACCAGUCCCCAUUGUGUUGAUCUCUCCAGUCCCCAUUGUGUUGAUCUCACCAGCCCCCAUUGUGUUGAUCUCACCAGUCCCCAUUGUGUUGAUCUCACCAGCCCCCAUUAUGUUGAUCUCACCAGCCCCCAUUGUGUUGAUCUCACCAGCCGCCAUUGUGUUGAUCUCACCAGUCCCCAUUGUGUUGAUCUCACCAGCCCCCAUUGUGUUGAUCUCACCAGCCCCC